AUACGGAGGGUGCAAGCGUUAAUCGGAAUUACUGGGCGUAAAGCGCUCGUAGGCGGCUUGUAAAGUCGGAUGUGAAAGCCCUGGGCUAAACCUGGGAACUGCAUUCGAUACUGCUUCGCUAGAGUCCCGGAGAGGAUGGCAGAAUUCCCGGUGUAGAGGUGAAAUUCGUAGAUAUCGGGAGGAAUACCAGUGGCGAAGGCGGCCAUCUGGACGGUGACUGACGCUCAGACCCGAAAGCGUGGGGAGCAAACAGGAUUAGAAACCCGGGUAGUCC
rnacentral:rRNA from 1 species